rnacentral:rRNA from 1 species
CCUACGGGCGGCAGUAGUGGGGAAUAUUGGACAAUGGGGGCAACCCUGAUCCAGCCAUGCCGCGUGUGUGAAGAAGGCCCUCGGGUUGUAAAGCACUUUCAGUGAGGAAGAACGCCUGGUGGUGAAUACCCAUCAGGAAAGACAUCACUCACAGAAGAAGCACCGGCUAACUCCGUGCCAGCAGCCGCGGUAAUACGGAGGGUGCGAGCGUUAAUCGGAAUUACUGGGCGUAAAGCGCGCGUAGGUGGCUUGAUAAGCCGGUUGUGAAAGCCCCGGGCUCAACCUGGGAACGGCAUCCGGAACUGUCAAGCUAGAGUGCAGGAGAGGAAGGUAGAAUUCCCGGUGUAGCGGUGAAAUGCGUAGAGAUCGGGAGGAAUACCAGUGGCGAAGGCGGCCUUCUGGACUGACACUGACACUGAGGUGCGAAAGCGUGGGUAGCAAACAGGAUUAGAUACCCCAGUAGUC